rnacentral:lncRNA from 1 species
CUCACUGAUAUGUGGGGGCUAAGCUAUGAGGACUCAAAGGCAUAAGAACAAUACAAUGGACUUUGGGGAUUUGGGGGGAAGAGUGGGGGCAGUGAGGGAUUAGAAGACUACAAAUAUGGUGCAGUGUAUACUGCUCAGGUGAUGGGUGCACCAAGAUCUCACAAAUCACCACUAAAGAACGUACUCAUGUAACCAGAUACCACCAGUACCCCAAUAAUUUAUGGAAAAUAAUUACACCAUAGCAGAGAGAUUUUAAUGGUCGUUGUGUGGUAAUAAAGAGGCCCAUGUCUGCACACACAUUUCAGGCUUUAUCAGUUUUACCAUGGGGCCCUUCUAGGGUUCAGUCUCGUCUGCCGGGACAAUUUCCCAGCGCCACGUCCCCCUGGUGCUCAGUCGCAGCUGUGAAGUUGGAUCCAUCGGUCAGGAGAGACUGACUCCUUAGGUGUGCCUGAGAAGAUGGGAGGAGUCAGGAGCAGGGAUGUCUGAAUGGGGACGAUGCACUAAGCGGCCGGUGUCUAUGCCACAGUCACCUUUGCUUUCUCACACACUCGUUGGACAGAGAGGACUAAGCCCAUAAAAAAGCAAGUAACAGGGACUCUCUUCUUUAUCCCCAAUUCACAGAGAAGCACACAGAGUUCUGGAGAGGUGAGCUGACUUGCCUGGGAGUAGGGGGCUGUGAUUCCAGUGGGGCCUGCCUGACUUCCAAGGCUCCAGAGCUUGGAGCCUCAUGCCACCUCCUCCCCUGUCUGUGGGCACAGGCAUGACUUGAUGUGAAAAGCCUGGAAAGUAAAGUGGAUCUGUCUUAAAUGCACUGCGAGAGGGUCUAAUUUAAAAUAUGUCUUCAAUGCAUUUUAAUCAAGUAUUUCUCUUGCAGUGAGAAUGAUCAUACCCCAGUGUGACAGUUUCAUAUCAGAUCUCUUCAAAUUGUGUUAUCUUAGAGUACUCACCCGUGUAUGCCUCCCUUGGCCAAAUGAGAUAGUUCCUUAAUGGACAUUAAAACUGUGCUCUGAAAAGCUUGUUGAAAAUAUGGACAGAGGCACGUAACAUGUGGGUCACUGGAAGCAUUUUCCAAAAGGCACAAUCUACAUCCCUGUGGGUCUCCAGGACUGACAAAGCCAGGAGCCCCAUUCCAGGAGGACAUGCAUCAUAGAAAAGGCAUCAAAUAAGACAUUUACAUAGCAGGCCCGGCCUUUCAUUUAGCAACAGCUGGGACGGCAUUAGGCAGCCCAUGCUCCCACAGUGGCCUCAGUCCUUAUGAAAGAAAUAGGACCUGUUGGAUUAACUCCUCCUAAACUGAGCAUGCCCAGCAAGCAUUCAUACUGGAGGACUCUCCACCAGGAACACUGGGGCCAAGGAUUUAUAUUCCAACAGACAGACCCACCUUCCCAUCUUCUUGGCUUAGCCCGUGGCAGCACGUACCUUCAACCUGCGUUUUAGUGACCCACCAUCUGUACCACUCCAUCUGCUUCAAUAUCCCCUUUGCUGACAUCAUCUCCACUUUGGACGGUGGUGCUGGAGAAGCAGAAACACUGUGACUCUCUCCUCCCUGAUCUGAAGGGGAGCUGGGAGGGCUGGGCCUGCAGUCUUGAGGGGCUUGGGGGAGUCUUGUCUCCGUAAGCUACCAGCUCUCCAAGCUUCACGAGCAAUGGGGUGGAGAUGCCCAGGAAAUGUGCAGAGGGAAGAGUGCCCUGUGCUCUCUGAGGGAAGAGUGCCCUGUGCUCUUUGAGGGAAGAGUGCCCUGUGCUCUCUGCUCCCCUUCCCUACCUGGGGGCGGUGGAUUCUGCCUUUGCUGGCUCAGUGCCUGGACUUGCAUGGUGAGGCCUCAGGGCUGGUGGAGAGACAAAGGUGGAGAAGUUGGGACAGGGUGAGGACUGGAAGUGGCUGGGAGUCAUCUGCGGAGGAGAAGGAAGGACAGGACAAGCCUCUUGGGACUUCAGUAAAGAUUUGAAUUAUUGGGGC